UACAGAGGGUGCUAGCGUUAAUCGGAUUUACUGGGCGUAAAGCGUGUGUAGGCGGUUCGUUAAGUCGGAUGUGAAAGCCCUGGGCUCAACCUAGGAAUUGCAUUCGAUACUGGCGGGCUAGAGUACGGUAGAGGGCGGCGGAAUUCCGGGUGUAACGGUGAAAUGCGUAGAUAUCCGGAGGAACACCGAUGGCGAAGGCAACCGCCUGGGCCUGUACUGACGCUGAGACACGAAAGCGUGGGGAGCAAACAGG
rnacentral:rRNA from 1 species